ACUCUUCCAUUAAAAUGACAGCUUUUUUCCAAAUUGAUAUAUUAAAAUGACAAAUUUCAGCAUGAAAGUUAAAUGCACCAGAGAAUUGGCCAAUUAAUUUUAGAUGCAAAGUGACCUAAUCUCCUAACCUCAUUUUAUUGUGUUUUUUAGUAAAGUGUAGAUCUAAAACACUUUGAUAUCAGAAAAUACGCAUUCAAAUUUAAAGCCUGAUAGUUUAUUUCUAACACAGGUUGGAGAAGGUGGCACCCAACUUUCUGGAGGACAGAAGCAGAGAAUUGCUAUAGCUGAUUGGGAGUAGCAAAGGUGGUUGAGAACGACAUGUUUGUUUUGAUGAACAAAGAACGAACAUAUUCAAUCUCAAGCUGCACACUGUUGGGAUCAUUGCUGCCAGUUUCGGAUUGGCGAAUCUUUUCUCCAGGCCCGGUGGAGGGUUCAUAUCUGAUGCAGUUUCAAAGAGGUUUGGAAUGAGGGGUAGGCUCUGGGCCUUGUGGCUUUGCCAAACAUUCGCUGGUGUCCUCACCUAUGCCAGUUGCUUCCUUGCAGAUAGUCAGAGUUCAACAGCAACCACCUUAAGAUGCUGUUUUGCUCUUAAUAGUUUGAAAUUGGAUUGCAAGACAAGGAGAAUGUUUGAGGAAAAGGGGUGUUACAGGUUACAGGCAGGAGAGACAGAGCCAAGCCUCUGCCAUUCAAGAUGGAUUCUAGCGGCCCAUGGGUCUUUGCCAGAGCUAAUGAAGGGAACCCAAGAGUCAGAUCCAAGUUUAUUGCACCAUGUUAUUAUAUGAACAAGUUGACUGAACAAAAAUUGACGAGAAGGAAGUUUUUCUCAUCAAAUGGUUUUCCUUGCCCAAGUCUCUAAUUUACAAUGUUCUCUUUUCCUCGUGCUCUCUCCUACCAGGGAGCUAGCUCAACAAGGUCCAUGCCUAAGCAAAGAAUCCGACAAUAUCAGAGGGUGAAAACCAACGAGAGGUACUCUGCAGUUCUAAUCUGAUCAAGGCACUCAUUUUAUGUGAACUGUUUCAAACACUUCUAAAACUCUGCAGAUUUGUGUUAGUUCCAUUUUUCUUGAAGGUGAGGAUAUAAAUAUGAGCAUUUCACAGGCUGCUGAUUCUAUUGGUUUGAAAGAGAUACCAAGAUAUGAAGUUAAAAUUAUUGAGGAGGAUGACUGGAUGAAAGGAGCUCAGUUUGGUGCUGCCUUUGCCAUUGGAGUCGAUAUAGAUUCACAAGCAAUUGCAUCAGCAUCUGAAAAUGCUACUCUGAAUAAUAUCAUACCAGACAAGCUGCAACUGCACUUGAUUGCAAGCCAAACUUCUUCAUCUUGCAGGGAUGACUGGCCAUCUAGAGUUGUCGAAUGAGAAAAUGCUUUCGAGAUAGACAGAGUCACUCACAAGGAUAAAUAUGAUGUGGUCAUCGCAAACAUACUUUUAAAUCCUCUGUUAAAUCUUGCUGAUCAAAUUAUCUUUUCUGCAAAGCCGGGAGCAAUUAUUGGUCUCUCUGGAAUCUUAAGUGAACAUGUCCAGAACUUAUUACAGAAAUAUUUACUAUUCUUAGAAGGCAUAGAAGUGUCAAAAAUGGAUGACUGGGCCUGUGUGAGUGGCAGAAAAAGAAAGAAUAUAGAUAUCUGCUGAUUCGUUGCUGUAGAUACUUGGUUUAGGGGUUUAACUUUUCUCAUCCAAUCAUUCUUUGCCGUUUUAAUGCCACCCAGAAUGUUUUACAAGAAGCAGCAUGUUGAUGAUAUACUAGGAAUUAUAUUGACUUGCUUGUUUAUAGUACUUUUAUUUUAGUUUGAUAAUACAAUGAAUUUGUUUA